rnacentral:sRNA from 1 species
ACCCACACUUCCGUUGCCGAGAUGCUUGUCUGCGACGGAUGCCCGAAAGAGACAAACUUUGCUGCCUGGCUCAAGGCAGUUUAAAUGUGAAGAACGUGAGUCUUCUAUGUUGCACACUCCUCCAGCGCUCUCUGCUGCUGAAGUGCAGAGCCUCGUUCCCAUAGACAGCAAAGCCCAACACUCCAAGGAAGAACAUCCGCACUGAGCCGAAGAAGAGAGUGUGGAACUGGCCGAUCACGAGUCUGAAGAUACGGAGAGAAAUGUCUUCUUCUGCUCACCAUCCACAGAGAGCUCUGAAGCAGACCUGUGAGCUCUCGAUUCUUGCUCCCGAGCUGAAAGAGCAGGACACAGCUAUCACUGUUGCACAACGAGUUUGAAAUUCACGUGGGAAAAUAUUGCCAGCUGGAGACUUUAUUGCUUAACAGAAAGGGUUCCCAGAUCCACAGCCAGCUACGGUCAGAAAUGAUGUCAGACCCUUCAGAACUGGACAUAG